rnacentral:rRNA from 1 species
CAUGGCCGUCGUCAGUUCGUACUGUGAAGCAUCCUGUUAAGUCAGGCAACGAGCGAGACCCACGCCCACAGUUGCCAGCGUACUCUCCGGAGUGACGGGUACACUGUGGGGACCGCCGCUGCUAAAGCGGAGGAAGGAAUGGGCAACGGUAGGUCAGUAUGCCCCGAAUAUCCCGGGCUACACGCGAGCUACAAUGGUUGGUACAAUGGGUAUCUACCCCGAAAGGGGACGGGAAUCUCCUAAAACCAAUCUUAGUUCGGAUUGAGGGCUGCAACUCGCCCUCAUGAAGCUGGAAUCCGUAGUAAUCGCGUUUCAACAGAACGCGGUGAAUACGUCCCUGCUCCUU